GAAGACCAAGGGUUCCUGUCCAACGUUAAUCGGGGCAGGGUGAGUCGACCCCUAAGGCGAGGCCGAAAGGCGUAGUCGAUGGGAAACAGGUUAAUAUUCCUGUACUUGGUGUUACUGCGAAGGGGGGACGGAGAAGGCUAUGUUGGCCGGGCGACGGUUGUCCCGGUUUAAGCGUGUAGGCUGGUUUUCCAGGCAAAUCCGGAAAAUCAAGGCUGAGGCGUGAUGACGAGGCACUACGGUGCUGAAGCAACAAAUGCCCUGCUUCCAGGAAAAGCCUCUAAGCAUCAGGUAACAUCAAAUCGUACCCCAAACCGACACAGGUGGUCAGGUAGAGAAUACCAAGGCGCUUGAGAGAACUCGGGUGAAGGAACUAGGCAAAAUGGUGCCGUAACUUCGGGAGAAGGCACGCUGAUAUGUAGGUGAAGUCCCUCGCGGAUGGAGCUGAAAUCAGUCGAAGAUACCAGCUGGCUGCAACUGUUUAUUAAAAACACAGCACUGUGCAAACACGAAAGUGGACGUAUACGGUGUGACGCCUGCCCGGUGCCGGAAGGUUAAUUGAUGGGGUCAGCGCAAGCGAAGCUCUUGAUCGAAGCCCCGGUAAACGGCGGCCGUAACUAUAACGGUCCUAAGGUAGCGAAAUUCCUUGUCGGGUAAGUUCCGACCUGCACGAAUGGCGUAAUGAUGGCCAGGCUGUCUCCACCCGAGACUCAGUGAAAUUGAACUCGCUGUGAAGAUGCAGUGUACCCGCGGCAAGACGGAAAGACCCCGUGAACCUUUACUAUAGCUUGACACUGAACAUUGAGCCUUGAUGUGUAGGAUAGGUGGGAGGCUUUGAAGUGUGGACGCCAGUCUGCAUGGAGCCGACCUUGAAAUACCACCCUUUAAUGUUUGAUGUUCUAACGUGGACCCGUGAUCCGGGUUGCGGACAGUGUCUGGUGGGUAGUUUGACUGGGGCGGUCUCCUCCUAAAGAGUAACGGAGGAGCACGAAGGUUGGCUAAUCCUGGUCGGACAUCAGGAGGUUAGUGCAAUGGCAUAAGCCAGCUUGACUGCGAGCGUGACGGCGCGAGCAGGUGCGAAAGCAGGUCAUAGUGAUCCGGUGGUUCUGAAUGGAAGGGCCAUCGCUCAACGGAUAAAAGGUACUCCGGGGAUAACAGGCUGAUACCGCCCAAGAGUUCAUAUCGACGGCGGUGUUUGGCACCUCGAUGUCGGCUCAUCACAUCCUGGGGCUGAAGUAGGUCCCAAGGGUAUGGCUGUUCGCCAUUUAAAGUGGUACGCGAGCUGGGUUUAGAACGUCGUGAGACAGUUCGGUCCCUAUCUGCCGUGGGCGCUGGAGAACUGAGGGGGGCUGCUCCUAGUACGAGAGGACCGGAGUGGACGCAUCACUGGUGUUCGGGUUGUCAUGCCAAUGGCACUGCCCGGUAGCUAAAUGCGGAAGAGAUAAGUGCUGAAAGCAUCUAAGCACGAAACUUGCCCCGAGAUGAGUUCUCCCUGACCCUUUAAGGGUCCUGAAGGAACGUUGAAGACGACGACGUUGAUAGGCCGGGUGUGUAAGCGCAGCGAUGCGUUGAGCUAACCGGUACUAAUGAACCGUGAGGCUUAACCUU
rnacentral:rRNA from 1 species